CCUACGGGAGGCAGCAGUGGGGAAUUUUGCGCAAUGGGGGAAACCCUGACGCAGCAACGCCGCGUGCGGGACGAAGGCCUUCGGGUUGUAAACCGCUUUCAGCAGGGACGAAUUCCGACGGUACCUGCAGAAGAAGCCCCGGCUAACUACGUGCCAGCAGCCGCGGUAAUACGUAGGGGGCGAGCGUUAUCCGGAUUCAUUGGGCGUAAAGCGCGCGUAGGCGGCGCGUCAAGCGGGACCUCUAACCCCGGGGCUCAACCCCGGGCCGGGUCCCGGACUGGCGCGCUCGAGUGCGGUAGAGGCGAGUGGAAUUCCCGGUGUAGCGGUGGAAUGCGCAGAUAUCGGGAAGAACACCGAUGGCGAAGGCAGCUCGCUGGGCCGACACUGACGCUGAGGCGCGAAAGCUGGGGGAGCGAACAGGAUUAGAUACCCCAGUAGUC
rnacentral:rRNA from 1 species